rnacentral:rRNA from 1 species
CCCUUAGAUGUUCUGGGCCGCACGCGCGCUACACUGACGCACUCAACAAGCUUAUAACCUUGUCCGAGAGGUCUGGGAAAUCUUUGAAUAUGUGUCGUGAUGGGGAUAGAUCGUUGCAAUUCUCGAUCUUCAACGAGGAAUUCCUAGUAAACGCAGUUCAUCAGACUGCAUUGAUUACGUCCCUGCCCUUUGUACACACCGCCCGUCGCACCUACCGAUUGAAUGGUCCGGUGAGAAUUUUGGAUUGAUGUUUCGUCGGGUUAACGCCAGACUUUACGUUGAGAAGUUAUUCAAACCUUACCAUUUAGAGGAAGGUGAAGUCGUAACA